UACGUAGGGGGGCAAGCGUUGUCCGGAUCAUUGGGCGUAAAGCGCGCGUAGGCGGCCUCGGUAAGUCCGCUGUGAAAAGUCCAGGGGCUCAACCCCGGUGAAGGCCGGGUGGAUACUGUCGGGCUAGAGUCCGGAAGAGGCGAGUGGAAUUCCUGGUGUAGCGGUGAAUGCGCAGAUAUCAGGAGGAACACCAGUAGCGGCGAAGGCAGCUCGCUGGGACGGUACUGACGCUGAGGCGCGAAAGCGUGGGGAGCAAACAGG
rnacentral:rRNA from 1 species